rnacentral:lncRNA from 1 species
UUUUUUUUUUUUUUUUUUUUUUUUUGGCCAUGCCUGCAGCACAUGCAAAUUCCUGGGCCAGGGAUUGACAUAUCAGUGACUGAGCCACAGCAGUGAAAACGCUAGAAACCUGCUAGGCCACCAGGGAACUCCCUGGAAGGCUAGUUUUUAACAUAUUUCCAAUUUAAAAUGUUACCAGCUAAUUUAUCUUAAACAUUGCACAAACUAGAUACCUAUGCAAGCUAAGAUCUGGUCCGUGAGCCACCAGUUUGGUACUCCUGGGCUAUCGUUUCUAUGUCUAUUUGCCUGCUGUUGUCUGUGAGCUCCAGGACCCUAGAACCCUAUAAAAGGAAUACACAUAUUCAUAGAAGGGCAGUUGGAAAAAGAACACAUGCUCAGGAGUUCCUGUCGUGGCUCAGUGGAAAUGAAUCUGACUAGUAUCCAUGAGGAUGCAGGUUCGAUCCCUGGCCUUGCUCAGUGAGUUAAAGAUCCAGUGUUGCCAUGAGCUGUGAUAUAUAGGUCACAGAUGUGGCUACGAUCUGGUGUAGCUGUGGUAUAGGCCAGCAGCUACAACUCAGAUUUGACCCCUAGCCUGGGAACCUCCAUAUGCCACGAGUGUGGCUCUGAAAAAACAAGAAAACAAAAACAAACAAACAUGCUCAAACUUGAAAGAUGAGGGCUAAAAGUAUCACCCAGCAAAUUAGUGCAUGUGAAAUUCAUUCAUUUCUCACUCUCUAUUGCAUACUCCUCAUACAGGCCAGGGACUGUUGUAGCAUGAGGUAAGAAGCAUACAAUAAUGAACAAACCUCAUUUCUGCUGCUCUCCUGAAGUUUAUAUUCUAAUAAGUAAGAGAGUCAAAUGACAAGAUCAUUUCAAGUGGUAGACGUUAUGAGUAAGUUGGUCCUAGCUAAGAAAUAGUACCUGAUGGGGGCAGGGGUGUCAAUAGGACAGGGUGUGGAAGAAGGCCCUUCUGGAGUGAAUUUAGAGAGGGGACCUCAGUGAUGAAGACUGUCACAUAAGGAGAAACACUCCCAAGCAAGGAGGACAGGAAAUGAAAAGACUCAGGAAGAGAUGUGUACAUUUGAGGAAGAGAGGUUGGUUGAUGAAAAAGGCUGGCAAGGAUCAGAUCAUAUACAGGUAGUUAGAGGUUUGUGUUUUAUGUGAAAUGAGAAAACUUUUGAAACUUUAUAUAUUAGAGCAACAUGUGAUUAGUGUUUUAAAUAGAUCGGUAGCUACUGUUUGAAGGAUUGUGGCCAAGAUGUACAGAUAGAAAUGCUACUACACAUGCUAUUGUGAUGUUAGUUGAUAUAGAGGAAAGGAAUUUGAUGACAUGUAAGCAGGCAGGGUAGGAAUUUCCUGUCCUUAGAACUGGGUUAGAACUACUGACUAGAGGUGGCAAAAGCUGGAAGGGUCAGGACAGAAAGAGCCUAAUGUUGAUUUCAUGCUUUAAUUAUGAAAAUCCUGUACUGAUCCUGAUUCAGAUCUAAUCUCAGGUAGCAUUCUGAAACGUGCAUUUUGAAUUAUGUUCAUGGGAAAUAUAGAAUUCAAACUUUUCUUAAGUAGUUGGCUGCUUUCUAUUAUGAAUUGUUUGGAUUGCAGGGGUAAAAACAGAACCCCCUUAUGUCUAACACAUAUACACAAUGCUAUGAGGUAAGGGCCAUUUUGCAGAUAAGAGAUUGUAACUUGCCAGCUCACCUUAGUAGAGGAAUGUUUUGAAUGCAGAGCUGACAUGGUAGCCCAUGUUUCUUUCAUUCCAGAAAUGAACAGGUCAAAGGGUUACAAAGUCGCAGUUCCCAUCGUGGCUCAGUGGUUAAUGAAUCUGACUAGCAUCCAUGAGGACACAGGUUCAAUCGCAGGCCUCGCUCAGUGGGUUAAGGACCCAGCAUUGCCAUGAGCUGUGGAGUAGGUCGCAGACACGAAUUGGAUCUCGCAUUGCUGUGGUUGUGGCGUAGGGCAGCGGCUACAUCUCCGAUUGGACCCCUAGCCUGGGAACCUCCAUAUGCCGCGGGAGCGUCCCUAAAAAGAAAACAAAACAAAGGGUUACAAAGUCAAACUGUGACUUCUAGCUACAGGAGUGCCUACUCUAGGGAACACGAGGGGAUCGAGGCCCCAUAUAAGGGAAAUCUUAGUACUAAGUUAGGCAUUACUAUUACUUUUGAGUAUAACAAAAGUAUUGCAGAUAUGUUUUAUUUAUUUAUUUAUUUAUUGUCUUUUCUGGGGCCACUCCCGCAGCAUAUGGAGGUUCCCAGGGUAGGGGUCUCAUCAGAGCUGUAGCCUCUGGCCUACGAGAGCCACAGCAACUCGGGAUCCAAGCCACGCCCGCAACCUACACCACAGCUCAAGGCAAUGCCAGAUCCUUAACCCACUGAGCAAGGCCAGGGAUCGAACCUGCAACCUCAUGGUUCCUAGUCACUGAGCCACGAUGGGAAUUUCGCAGAUAUGUUUUAAAAGUCCUUACCUUUUGGACUGAAAUACUUAGGGAUGAAAUCAUUUGUGUGGGAUAUUUUUCCAAGAAUGGGUGGUGGAAUGGUCAGUUGGUAGAGAUAUUAUCAAGGUUAGCUGAACUAGAAUUGAUCACGAUUUUGGAGUGGAGAUCUGUACUCACUUGACAUUCCUGUAAUAAAAACCUGAAAAUUAAGUUUUUAAAUAUGGGUUGAGCAGUAUGAGGUUGUCUAGCUCUUGACAAGAACCUACGAAACUGAUUCUGGUGAUUGCACCAGACAGGUGGGAUGAAAGGAAUAAAAGGUAUCAUUGCAGAGCAACCUCUCACAUACAAACCUCACCUCACAUGCAGGUAUAACCUGUGUUAAACAGGGCCUUGACAUCUGACUUUACCUUUCCUCAAUGCUGGUCAGUGCUGAAAAGGAAAGAAACUUCACUACUUAGAGGCAGUUAAAGCUCUUCAGGAAUGUUACAGCUCAAUAGUAUUUAUCAUAAAAGCACAAGUAGAAAGAUCACUCUUUAACUAAUAUUUACCCUUUUGCAAGUUGCUCAAUCAUGCUAGGCCAUGUUAGUUUUUAUAGUUAGAAAUGUAACUGAUUUAAGUAUCAUACCCGAUGUUUUCACAUCCAAGUGAAUCUUGACUCCCUGUGAGGAUUUCUACUCAUUCCAGCCCCACUGCCCGGCCAUUGCUGAACACGUUUGGAGAUCUUCUUGGGCGUUUUCUUCAGAAGAUGUAACUAUUUUUUCUAAAUAUCCUUAGUGGCAAUAAAUCUUCAUCUCUUUGUGAGUGUAUUUGAUAUUUUGCAACAGCAACAAAUCAUUUGGAGCCAAGUCUAGUGGACAAGGUAAGUAAUCAAGAUGGGUAAAAAUUUUAAUGGAAAACUGUCUAGCAAUGAAAUAUUUAUUACGGCCUUUUAAAAUCUCUAAAUUGACUUCCAACAUACUGGGGCAACAACUCUCAAUGUAAUUCAAAAAAUAUUCUUUUUUAGGACUUGUGGCUUUUGCUUCUUUGUGGUCAGAUUUUACUUCAACAACCAGCCAGUUCCAGGGAGCCUCAUCUUGUUACUGAUUUCUCCUUAACCUAGUUAAAAAAAUCAUCAUUGAAUAUUUAAAUUAAAAACUUUAAAGUUCAAUAUCAGCUGUCAUGUUGAAAAAAUUGGUUUGCUCCAGUUAGGGAACAGUACUUAAAGUUGACUCAAAAUAACCUUAUGGUAUCAUUCAUACCCAAAUCAGGUUUUUACUUUGUAUCAUGCUAUAUUAAAAUAUUUAACAUUACAUUGUUGGGUCACUCCCAUCUGCUUUUUCCAUGUAAACAGAAAAGACAACUUCUAUAAUAGCUCCCAAUGCAAGUAAUAAUUAUAGUGUAAUAAUCUCAAACUUCAUAUAAUGGAGUAAAGAACAAGUUUGUCAGAAAAUCAAUACAGCCAUUUUACUAUUAAAAUUCUGUUCUUUAAUAAUUUAUUUAAAUAAGUAUUUGAAGCAGUUUAGAAAAACAAGAUCUGUAUUUUAUUUCCUUGUAAAAAUCUUUACACAUGCAGACAAACCAGUGUUAAGAAAGUAUUCACCAUCAUUUAAACAAAUAACCACUUAAAUAGAACAGUGUCUGCAAUUUUAUGUGUAUAAAAAUAAGAUACAUUUUUACAGAAUUCACACUCCAGUUCUUAUAGCAAUAAACAAUACACAACUAUAAUAAUUACAAUUGAACCUGACCAUGGUUUUUUCAAUUAGAUACUGCUAGGGCAUUUUUAAUGUGCAAAAAAAAAGAAAAAAAAA